CCGGACGCCUCUUCCCCUCGCUGCCCCCUGUGACAACGGUGUCCUCUCCCUCUCCUGCCGUACCAGCCGCCACAGCUGUGACCCCUGUCAUCACCACGCCCCUAAAUCAGUCCCAGUCCACAGGUGUCACAACCAACAGAACCACAACUGAUGCUCCUGCAACAACCACAUCCACGCUGGCAGUCAUACUUAUUACACCACCCUCAACCACACCCUCAGUGACACUCACAACCACACCCACCACAUCACUAACAACUACCAGCACCCUACCACACCCAAGCACGCCCACCACAUCA